CCUGAGAAACGGCUACCACAUCCAAGGAAGGCAGCAGGCACGCAAAUUACCCACUCCCGGCACGGGGAGGUAGUGACAAAAAAUAACGAUACGGGACUCAUCCGAGGCCCCGUAAUCGGAAUGAGAACAUUCUAAAUCCUUUAACUAGGAUCUAUUGGAGGGCAAGUCUGGUGCCAGCAGCCGCGGUAAUUCCAGCUCCAAUAGCGUAUAUUAAAGUUGUUGCGGUUAAAAAGCUCGUAGUUGGUUCUGCGUGCCACGCUGUCGGUUCACCGCCUGCCGGUGCAACUGGCAUGCCGUGGCAUGUCCUGUCGGUGGCGGACAGGCCUUGUGUGUGCGCCCUAUGCGGUGCAACCCACCGUGUAGGCUGCUGCGCCGCGAGGUCCUUGUUCGCCGGCUCAAUCCUACCGCGGUGCUCUUUACCGAGUGUCGAGGUAGGCCGACACUGUUUACUUUGAACAAAUUAGAGUGCUUAAAGCAGGCUCUUAAUUGAGCUUGAAUAGUGGYGCAUGGAAUAAUGGAACAGGACCUUGGUUCUAUUUUGUUGGUUUUCGGAAUCCAAGGUAAUGAUCAAUAAGGACAGGCGGGGGCAUACGUAUUGCGGCGUUAGACUUGGCAAAUGCUUUCGCGGUGAAAUUCUUGGAUCGUCGCAAGACGCACUAGAGCGAAAGCAUUUGCCAAGUAUGUCUUAAUUGAUCAAGAACGAAAGUUAGAGGUUCGAAGGCGAUCAGAUACCGCCCUAGUUCUAACCAUAAACGAUGUCAGCCAGCGAUCCGCAGAUGUUCCUCCGAUGACUCGGCGGGGAGCUUCCCCCGGGAAACCAAAGCUUUUGGGUUCCGGGGGAAGUAUGGUUGCAAAGCUGAAACUUAAAGGAAUUGACGGAAGGGCACCACCAGGAGUGGAGCCUGCGGCUUAAUUUGACUCAACACGGGAAACCUCACCAGGCCCGGACAUUAGAAGGAUUGACAGACCGAUAGCCCUUUCUCGAUUCAGUGGGUAGUGGUGCAUGGCCGUUCUUAGUUGGUGGACUGAUUUGUCUGG
rnacentral:rRNA from 1 species